ensembl:lncRNA
GUUUUUUGUGUACGCACCUACUGCAGAAUGUCUGCAGGAGAACAGAGUUGGAUUUAACUGAGUAACGUUUCUGUUCUCCAUGUUUGUGUUACAGCCCCUUUCAGGAGGUCAGAUAGAUCAAGGGAAUCAUUCAGGCCAUACUGGAGACACCAUGGCACCUUUUCCUCCAGCAGGAACUCAUUCUUGCCACUGAAGCACAGAGCGUUUCCCCACAGAGAAAUUGAAGACAUCCUGAAAGAAAUGUCCUACACACCUUUUCAAGAGCAAGGUGAUUGUUUUCUGAGAUACUGGGAUGCUAGCAAUGAGUGGAUCAGACAACGUAUCUGUCAGGUGUUGAUCAGAAACAUCAGGAGGGAUUUUCUGACUUUCUGUAAACUGGCAGAGCUGGAGAGCUUGGAGCUGAGAGUAAGAAAUCUCAUCCAAUGCAACAGCUCUGCUUCUAACAAGGAGCUUUGCAUUCAGAAGGAGAAACUAUAUUGUUGGAUUCUGGCAGCAAUGUUUGUUCAUGUCUCCACAACAAACAAUGUGAAGCUGAAGGCUCUGCUGAGGGGAAUAGUCUUUGCAAAAUGCACUGUUCCUUCAGGGGAGAGAAAUUAUGAGCAUCUGUGCCUUAGUGCCUACCAGAAAAUCAGAGCAGCCAUCUCCACUGCUAUAAAGAAACAAAGGCCUUGGUCAAAUUUCAUAGAAACAUAUCUGAAGCACUUGGAAAGUUUCCUUAGGACACUGGAGGAAAGAGUGACUUUCACAAAUCAGAGGGUCCUGCAGUUCCAGUCCAUCCAGAAGCAGCUUCAGAGAGUACCCUGGAUGAUAAGACACGUCUUUAUUCUUGUUAUUACCGAAAAGGUGUUUGAAGCCAAACUGCUUGCAGUUAGCCAGUCCUUCUUCCUCUAUGUGUGCACAAAGUUGGGGAAAAAUCACUGGGAGAUUUUACUGGAAAUCACUGAACGCAUCACCGAACAUAUCCAAGCCAGCCACACACAAGGGGCAGUAACAGAGUGCCUGAAUCUUCUCCAAAGCCUGUGGGAGUGGUGCAUGAGAACUGCCACUAAAGAGAAGAAGCCUUUGGUAAUGACCAUCCUCAAUCAUUUCUUCCAAAAGUUGCUUUACCACCCCCUGAGUGAAGUAAGACACUGCAUUGCACUACUGCUCUUUAGCAAGGAUGGCACAGGCAGGCAUGUUACCGAGCUGGGAAACAAAAUGAUCCCAGCUGAUCCCAGCCAUGUGGAGGCAGCUCUCCGAGAAUAUCUGAAGGUCACCUUCCCUGAUCUAGUCCUUAAGGGACAGCUGAAAGCAAAUGCCAGUAGCAUGGUUGUGCAAGGAGUCAUACCUGCAGGCAACGUGAAGAUCUGCAUAGCCAAACAACAGACCCUGAAUGACAUCUUGCAGACGAAUGCCACUGACAGUGACUGCGAAAGGUUUCAAGAGGUGAUCAGAAUAGUGACUCUGUGUGCAGACAGGGAAUCCAUUGCCAAGCUGCAAAUGUCCAGUGCCUGUGGAGUGCCUCCUUGGUACAUGUUGGAAGACGGGAAUCCACUCUUGGCUUUCCUGCAGGAAAAGAGAAAUAAGCUCACCCUAUCCAAUAUGUUAGGCAUUUUAAAGGAUAUUGCCACAGCUGUCUGGUCCUGUCACCAGAAAAGGGUCUUACUUUGCGACAUCACACCAGCCAGCUUCAUCGUGUUCACAGGUGGGAGACAAGGAACGAGAGCUCUUCAGAUCCGGGCCAAGCUGUCUAAUUUCCUCCAGGCCAGGCUGGCCCCUCCAGAGGAUGAGAAAUAUUAUUCAGCUAGUGAUUGUCCUUAUGAAACCAUCAAAUCCUCACAGCUCACAGGUAGAGACAGU